CAUUGCUCUCUCUCUCCUUUCUUCCCCCUCAUCCUGUUACAGAAGACACUGAAGGAAUGAUGGACAAGCUGGUGCAGGAUGGCAGCAGCAGGGUGGAAGCACAGGUUCCGGACACGGCUUGCUCUUCUAAGCAGUGUGAGGACUGUGAGAAAGACUUUGUUGGAUGCAGCAGGAAAGCACAGCCGCUGGUGGAUGCCAGUGUCCGCUCCUGAGGCUCUGCGCCAAGCUCUGCCCAGUGCUGAUGGGAUGCCAGUGCCACCUGCUGCUCUUAAUAAAAGGUAGGUUUGAUUUCUUUUGGCUUCCAUAGCAUUUGCUACACUUUCAUUCUGUCUCUCUUCU